rnacentral:rRNA from 1 species
AGAUUGAACGCUGGCGGCAUGCCUUACACAUGCAAGUCGAACGGCAGCACGGGGACAAUCCUGGUGGCGAGUGGCGAACGGGUGAGUAAUGCAUCGGAACGUGCCCAGUAGUGGGGGAUAACUAGUCGAAAGAUUAGCUAAUACCGCAUACGACCUACGGGUGAAAGCGGGGGAUUCGCAAGAACCUCGCGCUAUCGGAGCGGCCGAUGUCUGAUUAGCUAGUUGGCGGGGUAAAGCCCACCAAGGCUUCGGAUCAGUAGCUGGUCUGAGAGGACGACCAGCCACA